AAACAGCAUCCGGAUUAGAGAAACUACCAAUGUCGGUGGAGUUACGUCUCUCUUCUUCCCCAUUCUUUAAAUGUCCUCGUGUACAUCCAUGUGAAUGUGGGUGUAUUCACGAGGACCCCCUUUCUCCUAUUCCGACUGGUGGAUUCUACUAGUCUGCGGAUGGAUGGAGCCCAGACUUGUGGUUUGGAUACCUGGCCGUAUUUCCCAGGCUUAAAGGCGUGGGGCUGAUGCUCGGGUCCCGGAUCGAUAAAGACCGGCGUGAAAGAGCAACAGGGAGAGCGACCCCCCAUCGCCACCCAUCAAACAAGAAAAGGAGAGAAAAACCUACUUGAUGUGUUUCUUUUCUUCUCCGACAUGUCCUAAAGCGGGGCGGCGAGGGUCCGCUUGUGUGUGUGUUGUUUUUUGAUCCGCAGCAGCAGCCAAACGGAUGGAUGGAUGGCGAACGUGAUGGCACGAUCGCCUCAUCAACAGUAUCCCGGCAAGUUUGGCAUUUUAUUUUUUCCUUCCUUCUUUCUUUCUUCUUAGUCGUCGUCGUGUGUGUUUAUGUACACAAGUUCGGCAACUAGCUAACGUGGCGUGUAUUGCUAAUAUAAAAAGCGAAACGAGCCAGCGAGCUCGCUUGUUAUUCUGUGUACGCAUU
rnacentral:lncRNA from 1 species